AUUAAUUAAAAAAUUUCCCAUGGCAAUAACAUUUAAUUGAUUCAAAAUCAUACCUGUAAAGCUUAAAAUUAAACAUGUUCAAACAGCUUGCUGUUCUGUCCAACAAGCUUCUCAUAUGCAUCCAAACACUUUGCUAUUUAAACAUGUUCAAACAGCUUUCUGUUUAAACAUGUUCAAAUAGAUUAAACAUUUAAUUAAUCAAGCAUUGCUACAAAGCUUAGCAAUGUUACCCCAACCUCUAGUUCAAAUCCAUUGUGGCAUUUCAUCAAACAUAACAUACGCAUCGCUACAACUCCUACACUACUACUGUCACUCGCACUUCAGGAAGAUUACAACAAUACUACUGUCACUCGCACUUCAGGAAGAUUACAACAACGAAAAUGACAAGACUACACCAUAGUCAUUUCUCUCUUCUUUGUCGAAUCCUUAACUGCUCUUCCAACAACUUUGUUUUUAUAAGCAAACCAGGAAUUAUCUGCUUCGAUCUGUUGCAAAUGGCGGGAUAAACCUAUUUGAAGAAAUCGCUCCCAAUAGUCUGUCUCGCUUGCAAAUUUUUAAUUUCAAACCAAUCACUUUCAACCUAAACAAACCACCUUCAACUCAAACGCCAUAAAUAUAGAGGAAAACUUACACUUCUUAACUCACAGCACAUAAACCUUCUACCUGGGUUCCAAUUUGUCCAAGAAAAUGCGAAUGAUGCAUUGCUUCCCGAAUUUGCAAACUUCGUUUUCCAUCCAACGAAGAAAUAAUUCUACUCUCUCUAAUCUCCUCUUUCAAUUUUUUUAUUUUAGAACCUUAUUUUUUCCAAGCCCCUAAAUGUAACAGAAAGAGCGUUGAUUUUGAAGGUUGAACGAUAAAAGUGGUGUUU
rnacentral:lncRNA from 1 species